AGGACGAACGCUGGCGGCGUGCUUAACACAUGCAAGUCGAGCGGAAAGGCCCUUCGGGGUACUCGAGCGGCGAACGGGUGAGUAACACGUGAGUAAUCUGCCCCUAGCUCUGGGAUAGCUCCGGGAAACCGGGAUUAAUACCAGAUACGACCACUUUAGACAUCUGUUGUGGUGGAAAGAAUUUUGGCUAGGGAUGAGCUCGCGGCCUAUCAGCUUGUUGGUGAGGUAACGGCUCACCAAGGCGACGACGGGUAGCCGGCCUGAGAGGGCGACCGGCCACACUGGGACUGAAACACGGCCCAGACUCCUACGGGAGGCAGCAGUGGGGAAUAUUGCGCAAUGGGCGAAAGCCUGACGCAGCGACGCCGCGUGGGGGAUGAAGGCCUUCGGGUUGUAACCCUUUCAGCAGGGACGAAGCGAAAGUGACGGUACCUGCAGAAGAAGCGCCGGCUAACUACGUGCCAGCAGCCGC
rnacentral:rRNA from 1 species